CCUACGGGAGGCAGCAGUGGGGAAUAUUGCACAAUGGGGGAAACCCUGAUCCAGCGACGCCGCGUGAGUGAAGAAGUAUUUCGGUAUGUAAAGCUCUAUUAGCAGGGAAGAAAAUGACGGUACGUGAUUAAGAAGCCCCGUCUAACUACGUGCCAGCAGCCGCGGUAAUACGUAGGGGGCAAGCGUUAUCCGGAUUUACUGGGUGUAAAGGGAGCGUAGACGGCAGCACAAGUCUGGAGUGAAAUGCCGGGGCUUAACCCCGAAACUGCUGUGGAAACUGUGCAGCUAGAGUGCAGGAGAGGCAAGUGGAAUUCCUAGUGUAGCGGUGAAAUGCGUAGAUAUUAGGAGGAACCCCAGUGGCGAAGGCGGCUUACUGGACUGUAACUGACGUUGAGGCUCGAAAGCGUGGGGAGCGAACAGGAUUAGAUACCCCGGUAGUC
rnacentral:rRNA from 1 species